UGCAUGUCUAAGCAUGCGCUGAAGUAAAGUGAAGCCGCGAAUAGCUCAUUACAACAGCCGUUGUUCUUGGAUCGAUCUCUCUACUUGGAUAACUGUGGUAAUUCUAGAGCUAAUACAUGCAACAAAGCUCCGACCGUAAGGAACGGGCGCAUUUAUUAGAACAAGGCCAUCCGGCUUCGGCCGUUCUUUGGUGACUCUGAAUAACUCAGCGGAUCGCAUGGGCUCGUCCCGGCGACGAAUCUUUCAAGUGUCUGCCUUAUCAACUUUCGACGGUAGUUUAUGUGACUACCGUGGUUGUGACGGGUAACGGAGGAUAAGGGUCUGACUCCGGAGAGGCAGCCUGAGAAACGGCUACCAGUUCUAAGGAAGGCAGCAGGCGCGCAAAUUACCCAUUCUCGGUACGAGGAGGUAGUGACGAAAACUACCAAGGUGAGGCUCAUUGAGUUUCACCAUUGGAAUGAGAACAAUGUAAAUGUUUUAACGAUUAGCUAGUGGAGGGCAAGUCUGGUGCCAGCAGCCGCGGUAAUUCCAGCUCCGCAAGUGUAUUCCUAUACUGUUGCGGUUAAAAAGCUCGUAGUUGGAUCUGAGUGUUUAGCAUGCGGUACGGCCUCUGGCCGUCACUGCACUGCGACACAAUCGAUGCCGCUCGACGGGGUGCGAUGCUCUUCAUCGGGUGUCGUGCAGUUGGCGGCGAGUUUACUUUGAACAAAUUAGAGUGCUCAAUACGGGCGUUAUGCUUGUAUACAUCUGCAUGGAAUAAUAGAAUAGGACCUCGGUUCUAUUUUGUUGGUUUUCGGAACCAAGGUAAUGAUUAAGAGGGACAGACGGGGGCAUUUGUACUGUGGCGGGAGAGGUGAAAUUCUUGGAUCGCCGCAAGACAAACUACUGCGAAAGCAUUUGCCAAGAAUGUUUUCAUUAAUCAAGAACGAAAGUAACGGGUUCGAAGGCGAUCAGAUACCGCCCUAGUCGUUACCGUAAACGAUUGUAGUUGGGGGCUAGCAGGUGUUUUCAUAUGGCUCUGCUAGAACCCACCCGGAAACGAAGAGUUUUCGAUAUCCGGGGGAAGUAUACUUGCAAAUGUGAAACUUAAAGGAAUUGACGGAAGGGCACCACCAGGGGUGGAGCCUGCGGCUUAAUUUGACUCAACACGGGGAAACUCAUCCGGUCCGGACACCGUAAGGAUUGACAGAUUGAGAGCUCUUUCUUGAUUUGGUGGGCAGUGGUGCAUGGCCGUUCUUAGUUGGUGGAGUGAUUUGUCUGGUUUAUUCCGAUAACGAACGAGACUCUAGCCUACUAACUAGUUAUGCGAUCUUCUUGUCGUAUUAACUUCUUAGAGGGACAAGCGGUGCUCAGCCGCAUGAAAAAGAGCAAUAACAGGUCUGUGAUGCCCUUCGAUGUUCGGAGCUGCACGCGCGCUACACUGUAGAAUGCAACGUGCUAGCUUGCCUCGCUCGCAAGAGUGGGGUAAUCGGUUGAAAUUUCUACGUGAUUGGGAUAGGGACUUGUAAUUAUUUCCCUUGAACGAGGAAUCCCUAGUAAGUGCAGGUCAUCAGCUUGUGCUGAUUACGUCCCUGCCCUUUGUACACACCGCCCGUCGCUGCCCGGAACUGAGCCAUUUCGAGAAAAAUGGGGACUGAUUGCUUGUGAGCACGCAAGUGCUUCUUGCAGUCGGAAACCAUCUUGAUCGGUAUGGCUUGAACCGGGCAAAAGUCGUAACAAGGUUUCCGUAGGUGA
rnacentral:rRNA from 1 species